rnacentral:rRNA from 1 species
UGGGGGAUAUUGCACAAUGGGCGAAAGCCUGAUGCAGCGACGCCGCGGGGGGGAUGAAGGCUUUCGGGUUGUAAACCUCUUUCGCUAUCGAACAAGGCCCGCUUAGGGUGGGUUGAGGGUAGGUGGAGAAGAAGAGCCGGCUAACUACGUGCCAGCAGCCGCGGUAUUACGUAGGGCGCGAGCGUUGUCCGGAAUUAUUGGGCGUAAAGGGCUUGUAGGCGGCUUGUUGCGCCUGCUGUGAAAACGCGGGGCUUAACUUCGCGCUGGCAGUGGGUACGGGCAGGCUUGAGUGUGGUAGGGGUGACUGGAAUUCCAGGUGUAGCGGUGGAAUGCGCAGAUAUCUGGAGGAACACCGAUGGCGAAGGCAGGUCACUGGGCCAUUACUGACGCUGAGGAGCGAAAGCAUGGGUAGCGAACAGG